rnacentral:lncRNA from 1 species
AAAUUAGCAAGUCUUCAAUACAGUUAGCAUUAACAUGAUUACGAAACUACUUCCUUUGAUCCUACAAAAACAGAUGCCAACAAUGACAACUUGUUACAUUCAAAUGUGUUUUGUGAAUUUAUUUCACUUUAUCAUCACUUUCUUCGUCUGUUGAAACCUUUAAGAUUUUUUCUCAGUACUGUUUUGUUUUUCUAAAGGGGCGUAACACCAC